UACGGGGGGAGCAAGCGUUGUUUGGAUUUACUGGGCGUAAAGGGCGCGUAGGCGGCCAGCACAAGUCAGUUGUGAAAUCUCCGAGCUUAACUCGGAAAGGUCAACUGAUACUGUGCGGCUAGAGUGCGGAAGGGGCAACUGGAAUUCUUGGUGUAGCGGUGAAAUGCGUAGAGAUGUGGAGGAAUACCGAUGGCGAACGGAGCAGCCCCCUGGGAUAACACUGACGCUCAUGCACGAAAGCGUGGGGAGCAAACAGG
rnacentral:rRNA from 1 species